UAUCCCUUCAAGCUGUGCAUGAUUGGGAGUUGAAAUCAUUGGAUUCAUUUUUGGAUGACUUGUACUCUGUUCAGUUAUGCCAGCAUUAGGAGGGUAGGAUGAUUUGGAGUUUUGUCUAAGGCUCAGGCUUUAAUGUUUGAACUUUUUACGAUGCUUUGCGAACAGAACAAGCGGAUGGAGCCUUCAACUGAGAAGAAAACUGAUGAUGAAGAGGUCUUACGAAACAAUCCUGAGUUUCACCGCAAACCAUGGCCAACCAUAAGCAACAGUGCGAAAGAUUUUGUAAAGAAGUUACUGGUGAAGGAUCCUCGGGCAAGACUAACUACAGCCUAGGCCCUAUGUAUGUAUUGAAUUUGUCUCUUAGUAAAUAUCAAUUUUGAUUACUUCUGGCCUAUUGGAAUUGGCUAAUGCAAUUACAAAAAUUUUUAGGCAAUAGAGUUGUGACUCAAA